rnacentral:rRNA from 1 species
GACGAACGCUGGCGGCGCGCUUAACACAUGCAAGUCGAGCGAGAACCAGGACUUCGGUCCUGGGGACAGCGGCGAACGGGUGAGUAACACGUGGGUAAUCUGCCCUCGAUUCUGGGAUAGCCCGGGGAAACCCGGAUUAAUACCGGAUAGCCUUCCAGGUUCUCGGACCGGGAAGAAAAGGUAGCUUCGGCCUCCGGCCGAGGACGAGCCCGCGGCGGAUUAGCUUGUUGGCGGGGUACCGGCCCACCAAGGCGACGAUCCGUAGCUGGUCUGAGAGGACGAUCAGCCACACUGGGACUGAGACACGGCCCAGACUCCUACGGGAGGCAGCAGUGGGGAAUCUUGCGCAAUGGGCGAAAGCCUGACGCAGCGACGCCGCGUGCGGGAAGAAGGCCUUCGGGUUGUAAACCGCUUUCAGGAGGGACGAAGCCACUCGGGUGAAUAGCCCAGAGGGUGACGGUACCUCCAGAAGAAGCCCCGGCUAACUACGUGCCAGCCGCCGCGGUAAUAC